AUUGAACGCUGGCGGCAUGCCUUACACAUGCAAGUCGAACGGCAGCACGGGGGCAACCCUGGUGGCGAGUGGCGAACGGGUGAGUAAUGCAUCGGAACGUGCCCAGUAGUGGGGGAUAACCAGUCGAAAGGCUGGCUAAUACCGCAUACGACCUACGGGUGAAAGCGGGGGACCGUAAGGCCUCGCGCUAUUGGAGCGGCCGAUGUCUGAUUAGCUAGUUGGCGGGGUAAGAGCCCACCAAGGCGACGAUGCGUAGCCGACCUGAGAGGGUGAUCGGCCACACUGGGACUGAGACACGGCCCAGACUCCUACGGGAGGCAGCAGUAGGGAAUCUUCCGCAAUGGACGAAAGUCUGACGGAGCAACGCCGCGUGAGCGAAGAAGGCCUUCGGGUCGUAAAGCUCUGUUGUCAGGGAAGAAACGGGUUUGGCUAAUAUCCAGAUCUAAUGACGGUACCUGAAGAAUAAGCACCGGCUAACUACGUGCCAGCAGCCGCCGUAACAC
rnacentral:rRNA from 1 species